rnacentral:lncRNA from 1 species
UAGAACCUGUCAUUUCAUGUUGUUGUUUUCAGGCUGACAUAAAUGACAGGACAAAGGAGCAUACAUUGAAAUAAAAUGAAAAUUCAGAACAGAUGUCAAGAAGCAUUUUUCAUGUUGAAUGUACAGAGUGGCCAACCAGAAUGCAGCAGUUCUGAGAUGAUACAUUCCAGCAGGAGGAAUUUACCCUCGUUGCAUUUUAAGUUCUAACUACUGGAUGGAGCUACACAAACACACAACUAUCAGUGAAUACUUAACACUUGUAACUGCAGCAAAAUACUACCCUGUAUUUAUUUGAGUUUCCCUGAGUUGGCCAACAACAGGUAUGUAUCCUUGAGUUUUGUAUGUGGAGGGUAGGUGGGUAAGUCAGUGACGGACUGAGCUGGAAUUGGC